rnacentral:rRNA from 1 species
AUUGAACGCUGGCGGCAGGCCUAACACAUGCAAGUCGAGCGGAUGAAGGGAGCUUGCUCCUGGAUUCAGCGGCGGACGGGUGAGUAAUGCCUAGGAAUCUGCCUGGUAGUGGGGGAUAACGUCCGGAAACGGGCGCUAAUACCGCAUACGUCCUGAGGGAGAAAGUGGGGGAUCUUCGGACCUCACGCUAUCAGAUGAGCCUAGGUCGGAUUAGCUAGUUGGUGGGGUAAAGGCCUACCAAGGCGACGAUCCGUAACUGGUCUGAGAGGAUGAUCAGUCACACUGGAACUGAGACACGGUCCAGCCUCCUACGGGCGGCCGCAGUGGGGAAUAUCGGACAAUGGGCGAAAGCCUGCUCCAGCCAUGCCGCGUGUGUGAAGAAGGUCUUCGGAUUGUAAAGCACUUUAAGUUGGGAGGAAGGGCAGUAAGUUAAUACCUUGCUGUUUUGACGUUACCAACAGAAUAAGCACCGGCUAACUUCGUG